rnacentral:rRNA from 1 species
GACGAACGCUGGCGGCGUGCUUAACACAUGCAAGUCGAACGGAAAGGCCCUGCUUUUGUGGGGUGCUCGAGUGGCGAACGGGUGAGUAACACGUGAGUAACCUGCCCUUGACUUUGGGAUAACUUCAGGAAACUGGGGCUAAUACCGGAUAGGAGCUCCUGCUGCAUGGUGGGGGUUGGAAAGUUUCGGCGGUUGGGGAUGGACUCGCGGCUUAUCAGCUUGUUGGUGGGGUAGUGGCUUACCAAGGCUUUGACGGGUAGCCGGCCUGAGAGGGUGACCGGCCACAUUGGGACUGAGAUACGGCCCAGACUUCUACGGGAGGCAGCAGUGGGGAAUAUUGCACAAUGGGCGGAAGCCUGAUGCAGCAACGCCGCGUGCGGGAUGACGGCCUUCGAGCUGUAAACCGCUUUCGCCUGUGACGAAGCGUGAGUGACGGUAAUGGGUAAAGAAGCACCGGCUAACUACGUG